GAGUUUGAUCGUGGCUCAGAUUGAACGCUGGCGGCAUGCCUAACACAUGCAAGUCGCGCGGAGUGUAGCAAUACACUUAGCGGCGGACGGGUGAGGAAUACAUAGGAAUUUGCCUUUAGGUGGGGGAUAGCCCAGGGAAACUUGGAGUAAUACCGCAUGAUGUCGUGAGACCAAAGCCGGGGACCGCAAGGCCUGGCGCCUUUAGAGAAGCCUAUGUCUGAUUAGCUAGUUGGUGAGGUAAUGGCUCACCAAGGCAACGAUCAGUAGCUGGUCUGAGAGGACGAUCAGCCACACCGGAACUGAGACACGGUCCGGACUCCUACGGGAGGCAGCAGUGGGGAAUAUUGGACAAUGGGCGCAAGCCUGAUCCAGCAAUGCCGCGUGUGUGAAGAAGGCCUUC
rnacentral:rRNA from 1 species